rnacentral:rRNA from 1 species
GAGUUUGAUCGUGGCUCAGAUUGAACGCUGGCGGCAGGCCUAACACAUGCAAGUCGGGCGGUAGAGAGAAGCUUGCUUCUCUUGAGAGCGGGCGGACGGGUGAGUAAUGCCUAGGAAUCUGCCUGGUAGUGGGGGAUAACGCUCGGAAACGGACGCUAAUACCGCAUACGUCCUACGGGAGAAAGCAGGGGACCUUCGGGCCUUGCGCUAUCAGAUGAGCCUAGGUCGGAUUAGCUAGUUGGUGAGGUAAUGGCUCACCAAGGCGACGAUCCGUAACUGGUCUGAGAGGAUGAUCAGUCACACUGGAACUGAGACACGGUCCAGACUCCUACGGGAGGCAGCAGUGGGGAAUAUUGGACAAUGGGCGAAAGCCUGAUCCAGCCAUGCCGCGUGUGUGAAGAAGGUCUUCGGAUUGUAAAGCACCUUAAGUUGGGAGGAAGGGCAGUAAAUUAAUACUUUGCUGUUUUGACGUUACCGACAGAAUAAGCACCGGCUAACUCUGUGCCAGCCGCCG